AUUGAACGCUGGCGGCAGGCCUAACACAUGCAAGUCGAGCGGAUGAAGGGAGCUUGCUCCUGGCUUCAGCGGCGGACGGGUGAGUAAUGCCUAGGAAUCUGCCUGGUAGUGGGGGAUAACGUCCGUAAACGGGCGCUAAUACCGCAUACGUCCUGAGGGAGAAAGUGGGGGAUCUUCGUACCUCACGCUAUCAGAUGAGCCUAGGUCGGAUUAGCUAGUUGGUGGGGUACAGGCCUACCAAGUCGACGAUCCGUAACUGGUCUGAGAGGAUGAUCAGUCACACUGGAACUGAGACACGGUCCAGACUCCUACGGGAGGCAGCAGUGGGGAAUAUUGGACGAUGGGCGAAAGCCUGAUCCAGCCAUGCCGCGUGUGUGAAGAAGGUCUUCGGAUUGUAAAGCACUUUAAGUUGGGAGGAAGGGCAGUAAGUUAAUACCUUGCUGUUUUGACGUUACCAACAGAAUAGGCACCGGCUAGCUUCGUG
rnacentral:rRNA from 1 species